AUGCGACGGCCGGAGCAGAGCAACGGGCCCCUGACCCUUCAGAACCCGGCGAGGCGGGCGCUCAGCGGCCGCGUGCCGUCGCUCGCCACUCCCAAGUCGCCGCCGCCGGCGUAUGGGAGCAUCGUCACCGUGCUGAGCAUCGACGGCGGCGGCGUCCGCGGCAUCAUCCCCGGGACUAUCCUAGCUUUCCUCGAAGAAAAGCUCCAGGAGUUUGAUGGACCGGACGCGAGGAUCUCAGACUACUUCGACGUGAUGGCCGGGACGAGCACCGGAGGGUUGGUGACGGCCAUGCUCACCGCGCCCAACGCCGACGGCCGUCCGCUCUUCGCCGCCAAGGACAUCAAUGACUUCUACAUGGAACACUGCCCAAAUAUCUUCCCUCCGGUCAGCAAAGGGCCUUUCGGAUUGUUCAAGAGCAUGACCGGACCCAAGUACGAUGGUGAUCACCUCCGCUCGGUCGUCAAGGAGCUGCUCGGGGACACGCGAGUCGAUCAGACGCUUUCAAACAUUGUGAUCCCCACCUUCGACAUAAAGCUCCUGCAGCCUACAAUCUUCUCAACUUACGAUGCCAUGAAGGAUGUCUCCAAGAACGCUCUUCUAUCAGAUGUCUGCAUCGGCACGUCUGCUGCACCGACCUACCUCCCCGGCCACCAUUUCGAAACGAAGGAUGAGGACGGUAAGCCACGAGCCUUCAACCUCAUUGACGGAGGAGUCGCGUCAAACAAUCCGACGUUGUUGGCAAUGACCGACGUGAGCAAGCAGAUCUUGAUGGGAAACCCUGACUUCUUUCCUAUCAAGCCGGCGGACUACGGCAAGUUCAUGAUCCUUUCAUUGGGCACUGGAGCGGCUAAGAUCGAGGAGAAGUUUGACAUCGCCCAGUGCAGCAAGUGGGGCGUCCUCGGGUGGCUCUACAACAGGGGUAGCACUGACCUUGUCGACAUCCAUGCCUCUGUGCUUUUCCAGGCACUUCACUGCGAGAAGCGCUACCUCCGGAUCCAUGACGAUGGGCUCAAUGGUGAAACAGCCUUUGUCGAUGUGUCCACGUCGGAGAACCUCAACAGGCUCGUUGACAUUGGCAAGUCGUUGCUGAAGAGGCAGGUGUGCAAGGUGAACGUCGAAACCGGCAAGAACGAGCCUGACUCUAAAAAUAGGGGCACCAACGAGGAGGAGUUGAUCUAUUUCGCACGCAUGUUGUCAGAAGAGCGCAAAGCCAGGCUUCUCAAGGAGGGUGACCUAGCUUGA
rnacentral:rRNA from 1 species